rnacentral:rRNA from 1 species
AAUGAACGCUGGCGGUAGGCCUAACACAUGCAAGUCGAACGGCAGCACAGUACGAGCUUGCUCUUACGGGUGGCGAGUGGCGGACGGGUGAUGAAUACCUCGGAAUUUACUUUUUCGUGGGGGAUAACGUCGGGAAACUUUCGCUAAUACCGCAUACGACCUACGUGUUAAUGCAGGGGAUCUUCGUACCUUUCGCGAUUGAAUGCGCAUCUGUCUGAUUAGCUAGUUGGCGGGGGAAAGGCCCACCAAGGCGACGAUCCGUAGCUGGUCUGAGAGGAAGAACAGGCACACUGGAACUGAGACAAGGUGGAGACACUGAGAGGAAGCAGCAGUGGGGAAUAUUAGAGGAUGGGGGAAAGCCUGAUACAGCAAGACCGCGUGAGUGAAGAAGGCAUGAGGGUUGUAGAGGCAAGUUGGUGGGAAAAAAAAGAGGCAGGGUAAUACGAGAAAGAGAUGACGGUACCCAAAGAAAAAGCAACGGCUAACUACGUG